GUUGGGGUGGGUGGUGGAGGGGGUAAACCGUAUCAAAAAUAGGCACUGUUCCGGUUAACUGGUGUAAUAUUCUGUCAUUUAUCACAGUUUGGUGCGGAUGAAAGAUGGCAAAUGAGGUAUUCUGAUGGCUUUGUAACCAUUUCUGUUAACCAUUUGAAAUAUGAAACACAAAUUAUCAUAAUUGGUGCAAGUCAAAAGUUUUCUUCGAGCAGCUGGUUGAAAGUAGACUUGUUAUUUGCUAUAAUACAAGAACCAAUGUGAAUGAAAUUGUUUGAAUGAUUUAUCCAAGAGAAGGCCAUUAAUAUGGAGUGCAACCACUAGUAAAAAUUCAAUGUUCCAGUGGAUUCCUUCUCAUCACAAUUAAUCUUUACUAAUCUAUGUAUUCUCCAGCCAAAAACUUGUGUUCCACAGGAAACUUCUGUUACAGGGUCAUGCAUGGGCUUGAUCUUCAGAUGAGCCACAAUGCAGAUAUGGAGAUCAACUGUCCAGCUAUACCUUAUUCAUUUUCCAACAACAGUGCACGGCAAAUAUUUACAAUGUGUGCUAAAGCUGAUGCACGUUCGAUUUACUUGAACCACAUGCGAAGUCUGGCUGAUCAACUGAUUGUAUCACAAGCUCAGGAUGAUGCGAUUCUAACUCGAGAAUGACCAGAACAUUUUCUCCAUGGCGAAGGAUUGGAGCAGGGACAUAGAGGGUGCACUGUGGCCCAAAAGACGGCCAAUAUCUUCCAAUGUUAAAAUCAUUUACAAAUGCAAUUCCUUUACCCCAGCCACUGAAUGAUAUGAAUGUAUCCUUAACUUGGUUGACUUUUUCUAUAGAAAAAUGGGCUGUGUAGAAUGCUGGUUCUUUUGAAAUAGUCUCAGAGUUAUCUUCUAAUUUUGUAACAAUUCUGGAAUGUGAAACCUGAGUGAUAAGAUUGUUUUUCGGCACCUCAUUCAGGUUGUUGAAAGGAAUUGAAAUCAUUUUCCAUCCAUGCAAAAUUCUUCCAUCAAGAUAAACAGAAGACAAAAUUCCCUUCCUAUCAAACAUGUAUGGUCCAUAAUUUACACGGCCCAUGUUUUCAACCAAAACAAAUAAGCUGAUGUUGGAGGCACAUUUGGUAUUAGGAAGGAUGAGUUUUACAUUUGACCACCUUUCAAUUGUACCAAUAUACGUUGGCCUUCCGCCCUUGUCAUCAGAAGAGCAUAAUACAAACACUUGAGCUCUGUCAUGCACCUGGAACACAUUAAAGAAGUCAAAUUGUGUCAAGCAUUUACUAAACUAAUAGAUGGAUAUGUGACUCAGACUGCAUUUCAAAGAGUUCUCUGAUAUUGCAAUACCCUUAUCAAAACAUAGAAAAGAAUGUCAAAGUUACUUAACUACAAGGAAAGGCAUCAGACAUUCAGAUUAGUAAAUCUAAAAUAGUUUCUAUACCUUUGGUAUGAACAAACUGCUUCCAUCAUCCUUUGAAGUAUAUUCAGAAACAUAAACUAUAAAUCCGAACAUCUGAACAUACAAGAGGAAAAAAAAUAAGAAGCAACCUUGGAUUAUUGAUUCACUAUGGAUAGGUGCAGUCUUUUAACACUACAUGUGAUGAGACAAAAGCUAACACCUGUCCCACAGACUCCAUUGAGACGGGGUUUCUGGAUUCAACCACAUCAGCAGGAUUAAUCAUAUCGAUUAAAUCAAACAAAAAUGCUGUUUUCUGUAACUGAAUAGCUCCAUGUCCAGUCUUUUCAUUAUUAGGAAUAACUGAGGGAAGAGAUGUUGCACUAUGACGCCCAAUAACACUCUUCAAUGCUGAAAGAAAUAAAUAUUCAUAAAUAGAAUUAUCUUGCAGGAAUUAUGCAAGUUAAAAGAGAGAUUCAAGACAACCAUCAUCAUAGAUAAAUCUGACACAUCAGAUGAAACACUAAGAAGCCAUGAAGAAGUGAAGCAAACUAGGAGCAUAUGGCCAUUACCAAAAACAUACCCUCAGAAUCAAGAUGCUCUCGAGAGUAGCAAUUUCUAUGAGGAUAACUGCCAGUCAGGCCACAAAUCAAUAGUAGGAUAACUCACACAACUCUGAUACACUUAAAAAAUGCCUGCUUUCUAUGUUUUAUGAGCAAGUAAUAUCAUAUCUGCAUUUUCAGUGGAUCUCCAUAUCUAAGUAGCAAGCAAUUGAAACAAUAAGAAACAGAAGCCUUUCAUAAAACCAACAGCAACAUUAAGCAAGUCAUAUUAUUAAGAAACCAUACAUGUUAUAUGUCGUUUUAUCAUCCCUCAAGUCACUAGGCUAUUACUACCAAGACAGAAAGUUAGCAACCAAACUGUGGGUAUGUUGGCAUGGCUAUUGCACGAAGUCUAGCACCAAAAGUGCAAUCUGAGUUAGAGAACUAAUAGCUAUUUGCAAAAACUUUAAAUAUGAAUAUUUUUCAAAAUCAGCUUUUGGCAUAUCACAUAUGAAAUCAAAUUGUAAAAAACUAUUGUCUAUAACCCAAGAGAAUUCUUACUAACAUUUUGUCCAAAAGUUGCUAUUAGCAACAACAAUGCCAGCAUGCUUUAUAUUUAUUUUAAACAAUCACAAUCAAAAUUUCAGCGCAUUGUUGUUAAUUAGGGGAGGAUAGGUCUAAAGACUCAAUUUUAAGCAAUGGCUUUAUUGCAAAUAAAUAAAUGAAGAACAAAUACCAUUGAAUUUUGCAUUAUCCACAUCACCAGAUUCCUUAAUUGGUGCAUCCUAGCCAAAACCAAUAUGAUAUCAGUUUGUUGUAUACAGUUUAUUGCAGAAAUUCAGUAUAUGAUAUCCACAAAAACAAAGUUAACAAUAUUCUCACAUAAUCAUAGGAAGUGAUAUCAGGCUUGUAAGUGUACUCAUCAGCAUUGGUAUUUGCUCCAUUAUAAAAUCCAAAAUUUGUUCCACCAUGUGCCAUCUGGACAUUAAAAUCCAGAUUAUAGCAUUACCAUAUACACCAUUGCCUUUGGAUCGGCAAAAGGUUGUAACUUACGGACAUACAUAAAGCACAGCAGAACCAUUUUGUGAGAAAAUUUUUUCCAAGGCAGACGCUGUAAAAUCAGCUCCUGUACGUUGAAGAUCCUCUCCCCAGUGUGUCAGCCAACCUGUAUAGAAUUCCGCAGAAAGUGGUGGUGAUUUCCCUGGGGCAUUGAACUCCUUCUGUAACUUGAAAAUAGGUGAGGGAUCUUCACCAGUGGAGAAAUCAACAGCUGAAAAUACCGCAUCCCCACGAAUGGUUCCUUUCUCAAGAGUUUCCCUAGUACCCCCAUCUGUAGUAUACAAAACUAUGUUCUCCCCAAGAUGUUCUUGAGCCAAUUUGACCAGGUGAUGAAGAUAAGCUUGGUCAUCCCCGUAUGAACCAAAUUCAUUUUCAAUCUGAAUCAUUAUAAUAGGACCUCCGUUAUUAUAAAGAAGAUGGGCUACCUUUGGUAGUAGGAUUCCCCACCAUUUGUCUACCAAUUUAAGAUAGGCAGGGUCAGAUGAUCUCAAUUUGAGAGCUGGUUCUAUGGCUAAUAACCAGGCAGGGAACCCUCCUAAAUCCCACUCUGCGACAAACACAACAAUUCCACUGAUAGUUUGUGGUGUGGCUUCACAGAUAAUAAUAUUGAAUUCAAAAACUGUUAAAUUUGAUAGUUAGCAUUGACCUGCACAAAUAUAAGGCCCAGCUCGAAGCAUAACAAGGAAAUCCAGCUUUUGGCAGAGUUUGAGAAAAUAAACUAGAUCAGCAAUACCCUCAAAAACCAAGUUGCCAGGUUGCGGUUCAUGCAGAUUCCAAGGAACAUAAGUUUGAAUGGUAUUCAAACCCAAAGCCUUUGCUCUCAACAGCCUAUCUUCCCAAUACUUCAUCGUGAAAACAAACCCAUCAAGUUACCAAAUUACAACAAAAUGAACAUUCCAUUGAAUCAUCAUAUACCCAAUUUACUGAAAUUUCACAAGAGAAAGUAGAGUAGAGAAUACCUCAGGAAGAAUUCGGAAGUAGUGCAAAUCACCACCAAUGAUCCGGAAAGGCUUACCAUCUUUCAAGAACAUGUCAUCCGCAAUCUCGAAGCUUCGAGCAUUGGCUGCGAAGACCUUCCUGUGGCGAUGAGAGUGAGAGGAAGAGGAGAGAGAAGGGAGAGGAGCAAAGACUGGAACGAAGGCUCCAAAUGCUAUGAUUGAGAUGAAUAGAAGAAACAGCGUCGUGGGGCCUCUCCUUCUCGCCAUUUUUGUAGUGAAUUUGGAGAUUAGAGUAGAAGU
rnacentral:misc_RNA from 1 species